rnacentral:rRNA from 1 species
UACGAAGGGGGCUAGCGUUGCUCGGAAUCACUGGGCGUAAAGCGCACGUAGGCGGACUCUUAAGUCGGUGGUGAAAUCCUGGAGCUCAACUCCAGAACUGCCUUCGAUACUGGGAGUCUCGAGUUCGGGAGAGGUGAGUGGAACUGCGAGUGUAGAGGUGAAAUUCGUAGAUAUUCGCAAGAACACCAGUGGCGAAGGCGGCUUACUGGCCCGAUACUGACGCUGAGGUGCGAAAGCGUGGGGAGCAAACAGG